GAUGAACGCUAGCUACAGGCUUAACACAUGCAAGUCGCGGGGUAACAUCUGGUAGAGCUUGCUCUUCCAGGAUGACGACCGGCGCACGGGUGAGUAACGCGUAUCCAACCUGGCCCAUACCACGGGAUAGCCCGUCGAAAGGCGGAUUAAUACCCAAUGACGUCUCUAGAAGACAUCUGAAAGAGAUUAAAGAUUUAUCGGUGAUGGAUGGGGAUGCGUCUGAUUAGCUUGUUGGCGGGGUAACGGCCCACCAAGGCGACGAUCAGUAGGGGUUCUGAGAGGAAGGUCCCCCACAUUGGAACUGAGACACGGUCCAAACUCCUACGGGAGGCAGCAGUGAGGAAUAUUGGUCAAUGGGCGAGAGCCUGAACCAGCCAAGUAGCGUGCAGGAAGACGGCCCUAUGGGUUGUAAACUGCUUUUAUGCGGGGAUAAAGUUAGGGAUGUAUCCCUUUUUGCAGGUACCGCAUGAAUAAGGACCGGCUAAUUCCGUGCCAGCAGCCGACGG
rnacentral:rRNA from 1 species